rnacentral:rRNA from 1 species
AAGACUCGGCGCGCCGCGACCGCGCCGACCGGGUGAUGCCCCGGAAGCCCGGGCGGGCCGUCGCUGCGUCACGCUGCUCGCCCGCGGGCGCCCGCCCUUGCGCGCACGUCUUGGCGCCGGGUUGCCAGCGGUGUCCGGCUAGCAGGGACCGCCGCGGGGGGUGCAACCGUCGUCCUGAGCCGUCCGCCGCGUCCCGGGUGAGCGGGCAUGCAUGGCUUCGUCCUUGGGGAGAGCGUCGCGCUCCGGCAGGAUCGACCGGAUGA